rnacentral:rRNA from 1 species
GAUGAACGCUGGCGGCGUGCCUAAUACAUGCAAGUCGAGCGAACGGACGAGAAGCUUGCUUCUCUGAUGUUAGCGGCGGACGGGUGAGUAACACGUGGAUAACCUACCUAUAAGACUGGGAUAACUUCGGGAAACCGGAGCUAAUACCGGAUAAUAUUUUGAACCGCAUGGUUCAAAAGUGAAAGACGGUCUUGCUGUAACUUAUAGAUGGAUCCGCUCUGCAUUGGCUAGUUGUUAAGGUAACGGUUUACCAAGGCAACGAUGCAUAGCCGACCGGAGGGGGUGAUCGGCCCCACUGGAACUGGACCCCGGUCAAGCUUCCUCCGGGAGGAACAAGAGGGGAAUCUUCCGCAAUGGGCGAAAGCCUGACGGAGCAACGCGGCGUGAGUGAUGAAGGUCUUCGGAUCGUAAGACUCUGUUAUUAGGGAAGACCACAUGUGUAAGUAACUGUGCACAUCUUGACGGUACCUAAUCAGAAAGCCACGGCUAACUACGUG